rnacentral:pre_miRNA from 1 species
CCUGUACUCCCUCCGUCCGAAAAUACUUGUCAUUGAAAUGGAUGUAUCUAUAUGUAUUUUAGUUCUAGACACAUCCAUUUUGAUGACAAGUAAUUCCGGAUGGAGGGAGUACUUG